UNUGACUUGAGUGCAGAAGGGGAGAGUGGANUUCCAUGUGUAGCGGUGAAAUGCGUAGAUAUAUGGAGGAACACCAGUGGCGAAAGCGGCUCUCUGGUCUGUCACUGACGCUGAGGCUCGAAAGCGUGGGUAGCGAACAGGAUUAGAUACCCUGGUAGUNCACGCCGUAAACGAUGAGUGCUAGGUGUUAGGCCCUUUCCGGGGCUUAGUGCCGGAGCUAACGCAAUAAGCACUCCGCCUGGGGAGUACGACCGCAAGGUUGAAACUCAAAGGAAUUGACGGGGGCCCGCACAAGCGGUGGAGCAUGUGGUUUAAUUCGAAGCAACGCGAAGAACCUUACCAGGUCUUGACAUCCCGAUGCUAUUCUUAGAGAUAGGAAGUUACUUCGGUACAUCGGAGACAGGUGGUGCAUGGUUGUCGUCAGCUCGUGUCGUGAGAUGUUGGGUUAANNNNNNCAACGAGCGCAACCCUUAUUGUUAGUUGCCAUCAUUAAGUUGGGCACUCUAGCGAGACUGCCGGUAGUAAACCGGAGGAAGGUGGGGAUGACGUCAAAUCAUCAUGCCCCUUAUGACCUGGGCUACACACGUGCUACAAUGGUCGGUACAACGAGUUGCGAGCCGGUGACGGCAAGCUAAUCUCUGAAAGCCGAUCUCAGUUCGGAUUGGAGGCUGCAACUCGCCUCCAUGAAGUCGGAAUCGCUAGUAAUCGCGGAUCAGCACGCCGCGGUGAAUACGUUCCCGGGCCUNGU
rnacentral:rRNA from 1 species